CAGACUCUGUCUAAAAAGAAAAGAAAGUCUUGCUGGUUUUGAAGAUGUGAGCGACCUCUAGAAGCUGAGAACAACCCCGGGCCGGCAGCCAGCAAGCGGAGACCUCAUACAACCAUGUGAUGAAUGUCAACAACCUGAAGGAGCCUGUAGCCCGGGUCUCCCCUAGGGCCCCUGCUAAGAGCUGAGGCAGCUGACACCCUGAUUUCAGCCCUGAGACCUGCAGCAGAGAAGCCAGUCAAACCCACCUGCACUUCUAAUGCACAGAACCGUCUUUCUCGGCUUUGGAGCCAAGAAGUCACCUUGCCAGGAACAGCCUCCAACCAAUGACUGCAAGACGCCUUGGACCAGGCUGCUCUGGAGGUCAGCCGCCCCCGAGGCUGAAGAGCCGGCGGCUCGGAGAAGGC